rnacentral:misc_RNA from 1 species
UUUCCGUAGGUGAACCUGCGGAAGGAUCAUUCAUAAUAAGUGUUUUAUGGCACUUUUUUAAAUCCAUAUCCACCUUGUGUGCAAUGUCAGGGUUGAUUUUUCUCUCGAGAGGAUCAACCCCAAACAUCAACUAUAUCUCAACUCUUUGUCUGAGAAAUAUUAUGAAUAAAACAAUUCAAAAUACAACUUUCAACAACGGAUCUCUUGGCUCUC